rnacentral:pre_miRNA from 1 species
AAUAAGUUCAUUUUUCAGCUUUUAGAUACAAUAUUUUCACUCUCCAUCUUAUUUGAAAUUUUUUUUUGUGAUUACUAUUUUUAUUGUUACUAGAUGAUAAAAUAUGGAUAGUAUUUUAUACGUGACUAAUUUUUUUAAAGUUUUUAUAUAUUUUUUUAAAUAAGACGAAUGAUUAAAGCAUUUGACAAAAAAAAUCA